rnacentral:rRNA from 1 species
ACCCAAUAGAUACCCGGGUAGUCCACGCCCUAAACGAUGCAUAUUUGGUGUGGGUCAUUCAGUUGAUCCGUGCCGGAGCUAAACGCGUUAAAUAUGCCGCCUGGGGAGUACAGUCGCAAGGCUGAAACUCAAAGGAAUUGACGGGGGCCGCACAAGCGGUGGAGCAUGUGGUUCAAUUCGACGCAACGCGAAGAACCUUACCUGGGCUCGAACGGCUGGUUAACGACUUUGGAAACAGAGUUACUCCGCAAGGAGGUCCAGUCGAGGUGCUGCAUGGCUGCCGUCAGCUCGUGUCGUGAGAUGUUGGGUUAAGUCCCGCAACGAGCGCAACCCUCGUCCUGUGUUGCCAUGGCGCAAGCCGGAACUCGCAGGAGACCGCCAGCGAUAAGUUGGAGGAAGGUGGGGAUGACGUCAAGUCCUCAUGGCCUUUAUGUCCAGGGCUACACACGUGCUACAAUGGCCGGUACAAACCGCCGCGAACCCGCGAGGGGAGCCAAUCGGAGAAAACCGGUCUCAGUUCGGAUUGCAGGCUGCAAC